UACGUAGGGUGCGAGCGUUAAUCGGAAUUACUGGGCGUAAAGCGUGCGCAGGCGGUUUUGUAAGCCAGAUGUGAAAGCCCCGGGCUUAACCUGGGAAUGGCAUUUGGGACUGCAAGGCUUGAGUGCGGCAGAGGAGACGUGGAAUUCCUGGUGUAGCAGUGAAAUGCGUAGAUAUCAGGAGGAAUACCGAUGGCGAAGGCAGGUCUCUGGGCUGACACUGACGCUGCAGCACGAAA
rnacentral:rRNA from 1 species